rnacentral:misc_RNA from 1 species
GAUGAAGAACGUAGCGAAAUGCGAUAAGUAAUGUGAAUUGCAGAAUUCAGUGAAUCAUCGAAUCUUUGAACGCACCUUGCGCUCUUUGGUAUUCCGAAGAGCAUGCCUGUUUGAGUGUCAUGAAAAUAUCAACCUUGACUUGGGUUUUGUGCUCUAGUCUCGGCUUGGAGUUGGGUGCUUGCCGCUUUUACGAGCGGCUCACCUUAAAUGUAUUAGCUGGAUCUGUCUUUGAGACUUGGUUUGACUUGGCGUAAUAAGUAUUUCGCUAAGGACAUUCUUCGGAGUGGCCUCGUUUCUAGGACGCUUGUCCGCUUUCCAAUACAAGUUCCACCUCGUGGACAUGACUUUUUAUUAUCUGGCCUCAAAUCAGGUAGGACUACCCGCUGAACUUAAGCAUAUCAAUAAGCGGAGGA